CUUUAUGAUGAUUGUUUCGAAUAAUAUACGCUGGAAAUUACCGGCAGAGGCCUUCGGGCUGUGGAAGAUAACAAAAUGGCUAUAUCUGAUC
rnacentral:snoRNA from 1 species